UACAGAGGUCUCAAGCGUUGUUCGGAUUCAUUGGGCGUAAAGGGUGCGUAGGCGGCGCGGUAAGUCGGGUGUGAAAUCUCGGAGCUUAACUCCGAAACUGCAUUCGAUACUGCCGUGCUUGAGGACUGGAGAGGAGACUGGAAUUUACGGUGUAGCGGUGAAAUGCGUAGAUAUCGUAAGGAACACCGGAGGCGAAGGCGGCUCACUGGGGGUCUUCUGACGCUGAGGAACGAAAGCCAGGGGAGCGAACGGG
rnacentral:rRNA from 1 species